GACAGAGGUGGCAACAGUUGUUCGGAAAUUACUGGGCGUAAAGCGCGUGUAGGCUGCCCUGCAAGUCGGAUGUGAAAGCCCUGGGACUCCAACCUAGGAAGUGCAUUCGAAACUGCGGGGCUGGAGUCCUGGAGAUGGAAGGCGGGAAUUCGUCGGUGUAGAGGUGAAAUUCGUAGAUAUCGAGAGGAACACCGGUGGCGAAGGCGGCC
rnacentral:rRNA from 1 species